UACGAAGGGGGCUAGCGUUGCUCGGAAUCACUGGGCGUAAAGGGUGCGUAGGCGGGUCUUUUAAGUCAGGGGUGAAAUCCUGGAGCUCAACUCCAGAACUGCCUUUGAUACUGAAGAUCUUGAGUUCGGGAGAGGUGAGUGGAAUUACCGGUGUAGCGGUGAAAUGCGUAGAGAUCGGUAGGAACACCCGUGGCGAAGGCGGUCUCCUGGGGCCCUCUUGGACGCUGAGGCGCGAAAGCUGGGGGAGCGAACGGG
rnacentral:rRNA from 1 species